rnacentral:rRNA from 1 species
UACGGGGGGGGCAAGCGUUGUUCGGAAUUAUUGGGCGUAAAGAGCUCGUAGGCGGUGUGUCACGUCGUUCGUGAAAACCUGCAGCUUAACUGUGGGCGUGCGGUCGAUACGGGCAUCACUUGAGUGCGGCAGAGGAGACUGGAAUUCCUGGUGUAGCAGUGAAAUGCGUAGAUAUCAGGAGGAAUACCGAUGGCGAAGGCAGGUCUCUGGGCUGACACUGACGCUCAUGCACGAAAGCGUGGGGAGCGAACAGG